AUUGAACGCUGGCGGCACGCCUAACACAUGCAAGUCGAGCGGUAACAGGAUGUGUAGCAAUACACAUUGCUGACGAGCGGCGGACGGGUGAGGAACACGUAGGAACUUACCCUCAAGCGGGGGAUAACUAAUGGAAACGUUAGCUAAUACCGCAUAAUCUCGAAAGAGAAAAGCUACACGCAAGGGCGGCACUUGAGGAGAGGCCUGCGUCCGAUCAGCUAGUUGGUGAGGUAAUGGCUCACCAAGGCAAUGAUCGGUAACUGGUUUGAGAGGACGACCAGUCACACUGGGACUGAGACACGGCCCAGACUCCUACGGGAGGCAGCAGUGGGGAAUAUUGGACAAUGGGGGCAACCCUGAUCCAGCGAUGCCGCGUGAGUGAAGAAGGCCUUCGGGUCGUAAAGCUCUUUAGGUUGGGAAGAAGUGUAUUAGGUUCAUAGCCUAGUAUGUUGACGGUACCGACAGAAUAAGCACCGGCAAACUCUGUGCCAGCCGCCGCAGUAAGAC
rnacentral:rRNA from 1 species